GGAGAUAAGGUUGCAGUUGGUGGUCCGGGUCUUGCUGCAGCACGAAAAUCGAAGGCCGGAAUAAGCAUGUAGAAAGCGUAUGGUUUCCCCGUUUGGACGAGGGUUCGACUCCCUCCAGCUCCACAU
rnacentral:tmRNA from 1 species